GAGUUCAAGAGUACUUGAAACCGUUCAGGGGUAAACCUGAGAAACCCGAAAGGUCGAAAGGGGAAAUUCAUUCGCGUUUCGGCCGCUGGCGGAAGAUGAUCGUGUGACGGACGUCGUUCGCGUCGUCCGCGCCUUUCGUUUUUCGAACCGGCGUCGAACGCGUGCACUUUUCCCCUAGUAGGACGUCGCGAUCCGUUGGGUGUCGGUCUACGGCUCACGGUGGAGCCCGUGCGUACGGUUCGCCGUUUUACGUGCGGACCCGUGGUGUCCCGGCCGACUCGCUCGACGGUAUACGGAUGGCGCGAGGCCGCUAUCUUAUCAGUUAGCGUCCGACCCGCGGCAAGCGCGCCCGACGUGUCGGUGAUCGGACCUGGUGCCGGUCCCGGCCUCUGGUGACUGUUGGCCGUAGUGUUCUCGGACAGACCUCGAUCUAAACGCCGAUCUGCGACGCUAUAGCUUUGGGUACUUUCAGGACCCGUCUUGAA
rnacentral:rRNA from 1 species